rnacentral:ncRNA from 1 species
UUAACAGCUGUGAUGAAGGGUAAGUAGAGGUACGAUAAAGACUUUCAGAGAGCCGGUGGUUGCUGUGAACCGGUGUCUAGCGUAUCGUUGAAUGGCCUUCGGAGUUGCUUUGCUGAAUCAUCACCAUGAUGUAGUAGGGAAGGCCGGGGUUCCUCCCGUUAUCCUCAGGAGCAUUAUAAGAGUUCGUACAUGGAGCUCCGUAAUGUUUGAGAUAAUCGAUACUCUGCUAUGUAUGCAGAAGGAUCGGUUAAUUAAGGUGGUACCACGAUAGCUUCGUCCUUUAU